GCGCCCGAUCUCGUCUGAUCUCGGAAGCGUAG
rnacentral:rRNA from 1 species